UGGGGAAUUUUGGACAAUGGGCGAAAGCCUGAUCCAGCAAUGCCGCGUGUGUGAAGAAGGCCUUCGGGUUGUAAAGCACUUUUGUCCGGAAAGAAAUCCUUGGCUCUAAUACAGUCGGGGGAUGACGGUACCGGAAGAAUAAGCACCGGCUAACUACGUGCCAGCAGCCGCGGUAAUACGUAGGGUGCAAGCGUUAAUCGGAAUUACUGGGCGUAAAGCGUGCGCAGGCGGUUUGCUAAGACCGAUGUGAAAUCCCCGGGCUCAACUGGGAACUGCAUUGGUGACUGGCAGGCUAGAGUAUGGCAGAGGGGGGUAGAAUUCCACGUGUAGCAGUGAAAUGCGUAGAGAUGUGGAGGAAUACCGAUGGCGAAGGCAGCCCCCUGGGCCAAUACUGACGCUCAUGCACGAAAGCGUGGGGAGCAAACAGGAUUAGAUACCCUGGUAGUCCACGCCCUAAACGAUGUCAACUAGUUGUUGGGGAUUCAUUUCCUUAGUAACGUAGCUAACGCGUGAAGUUGACCGCCUGGGGAGUAC
rnacentral:rRNA from 1 species